UACGUAGGGUGCAAGCGUUGUCCGGAAUUAUUGGGCGUAAAGAGCUCGUAGGCGGUUUGUCGCGUCUGCUGUGAAAACUCGGGGCUUAACCCCGGGCCUGCAGUGGGUACGGGCAGACUAGAGUGCGGUAGGGGAGACUGGAAUUCCUGGUGUAGCGGUGAAAUGCGCAGAUAUCAGGAGGAACACCGGUGGCGAAGGCGGGUCUCUGGGCCGUAACUGACGCUGAGGAGCGAAAGCGUGGGGAGCAAACAGG
rnacentral:rRNA from 1 species